CGGGCUGUGGCGCAGUUUGGUAGCGCGCUUGCUUUGGGAGCAAGACGUCGCAGGUUCAAAUCCUGUCAGCCCGACAA
rnacentral:tRNA from 4 species